AGAAAUAAAAUACAUAUUGGUGCAAAUGGCUUUAGGUCAUUUGCUUAAAAGGGAAAUCGGUGCAAAUCCGAUGCUGUCCCGCAACUGUAAAUGGGGAGUCUAGACUACAUCCACUGUAGGAAACUAUGGAAAGGAGUAGAUGAUGAGCCUAAGCCAGGAUACCUGCCAAUACAUACAUAAUUUA
rnacentral:ncRNA from 2 species